CCGCAGGUAAAACUGC
rnacentral:sRNA from 1 species